rnacentral:pre_miRNA from 1 species
UUUGACUCUUCGUCUUAUUUGAAAUUUUUUUAUGAUUAAUAUUUUUAUUGUUACUAUAUGAUAAAACAGGAAUAGUAUUUUACAUGUGACUAAUUUUUUUUAAUUUUUUAAUAAAUUUUUCAAAUAAGACGGAUGGUGAAA